GACGAACGCUGGCGGCGUGCUUAACACAUGCAAGUCGAACGGUGAAGCGCCUUCCUUUUUGGUGGGUGUGGAUGAGUGGCGAACGGGUGAGUAACACGUGAGUAACCUGCCCCCUUCUUCUGGAUAACCGCAUGAAAGUGUGGCUAAUACGGGAUAUUCUGGGUCUGUCGCAUGAUGGGUCUGGGAAAGAUAUUGUUUCGGUGGGGGAUGGGCUCGCGGCCUAUCAGCUUGUUGGUGGGGUGAUGGCCUACCAAGGCGGUGACGGGUAGCCGGCCUGAGAGGGUGGACGGUCACACUGGGACUGAGACACGGCCCAGACUCCUACGGGAGGCAGCAGUGGGGAAUAUUGCACAAUGGGCGCAAGCCUGAUGCAGCGACGCCGCGUGAGGGAUGGAGGCCUUCGGGUUGUGAACCUCUUUCGCCAGUGAAGCAGGCCUGCCUCGUUUGUGGGUGGGUUGACGGUAGCUGGAGAAGAAGCGCGGGCUAACUACGUG
rnacentral:rRNA from 1 species